rnacentral:tRNA from 1 species
ACCUGGGUGGCUCAGCGGCUGAGCAUUUGCCUUUGGCUCAGGGCAUGAUCCCAGGGUCCUGGGAUCGAGUCCCACCUCAGGUU